ACUCCUGCGGGAGGCAGCAGUGGGGAAUAUUGGACAAUGGGCGCAAGCCUGAUCCAGCCAUGCCGCGUGAGUGAUGAAGGCCCUAGGGUUGUAAAGCUCUUUCACCGGAGAAGAUAAUGACGGUAUCCGGAGAAGAAGCCCCGGCUAACUUCGUGCCAGCAGCCGCGGUAAUACGAAGGGGGCUAGCGUUGUUCGGAAUUACUGGGCGUAAAGCGCACGUAGGCGGAUCGAUCAGUCAGGGGUGAAAUCCCAGGGCUCAACCCUGGAACUGCCUUUGAUACUGUCGAUCUGGAGUAUGGAAGAGGUGAGUGGAAUUCCGAGUGUAGAGGUGAAAUUCGUAGAUAUUCGGAGGAACACCAGUGGCGAAGGCGGCUCACUGGUCCAUUACUGACGCUGAGGUGCGAAAGCGUGGGGAGCAAACAGGAUUAGAUACCCUAGUAGUCCCA
rnacentral:rRNA from 1 species